GUCUUUCCCUAUACGAAAACAGCUUUACCCGAUCAUCUAUCCAACCUCCAACCGAAUUCCUUAAUCAAAUCCAGCAGUUUAUUCCUUAAAAAAAUAUCGGCAGCGAUCCGGCCGUGCCAAACAGGAAAACAGCGUGACAGGAAAUGACGUUCCUGUAGUCAGUCAUAAUGUUGAGGAGAUGAAGAAGAAGAAAGUAGAUUGGAAGAAAGUUACUGACAUGAUGGCCAGCACAUUCUCUCUACGACGAAAAGAAAUAGUCGAAGAACAACCACUUGUGGCAGAGGUGAAAGCCAAAUGGCCAGCUUUGUUCACUGAUCGACAGAUUGAAGCUGAAUUCACUCGACUUACGUCCAUUGGCUUGUGGGAUUCGUUUGUUUCUGGGCUGGACCAGCAUUUGGCUAGAUUCUUGCAGAUGUACAGGGCCAAGAGUCACUGCAUUUCAGAGCCUCCUGACUAUGCUUGAUUAUGAUAAUUCACUCCAAAAUAAAAGGUCAGUCACGCUUAGAGGCCUUCCACACUUUCUCAGAGAGGAUCCAUCCAAGUUUUUAAAGACUGCUGAGGCUACAGAGAGUGAGGAACGUAUGGGAAAAGGAGUGAAUGUUGGUAUCCUGCUGGUAAAAGAAGGAGAGGACGUCUUUGACUUUUCGGUGGUGCUGGAGGAGCAGAUUGUC